UGAUCCCUUUCUUUUUUUGGCACUAUUGUUGAUUUGCCAAAGGAAGAACGGGGUUGU
rnacentral:pre_miRNA from 1 species